rnacentral:rRNA from 1 species
ACACUCCUACGGGAGGCAGCGGUGGGGAAUAUUGCACAAUGGGCGCAAGCCUGAUGCAGCCAUGCCGCGUGUAUGAAGAAGGCCUUCGGGUUGUAAAGUACUUUCAGCGGGGAGGAAGGCAAUACGGUUAAUAACCGUGUUGAUUGACGUUACCCGCAGAAGAAGCACCGGCUAACUCCGUGCCAGCAGCCGCGGUAAUACGGAGGGUGCAAGCGUUAAUCGGAAUUACUGGGCGUAAAGCGCACGCAGGCGGUCUGUCAAGUCGGAUGUGAAAUCCCCGGGCUCAACCUGGGAACUGCAUUCGAAACUGGCAGGCUUGAGUCUUGUAGAGGGGGGUAGAAUUCCAGGUGUAGCGGUGAAAUGCGUAGAGAUCUGGAGGAAUACCGGUGGCGAAGGCGGCCCCCUGGACAAAGACUGACGCUCAGGUGCGAAAGCGUGGGGAGCAAACAGGAUUAGAAACCCGGGUAGUCCC